UAAGGAAUAUUGGUCAAUGGACGCAAGUCUGAACCAGCCAUGCCGCGUGGAGGAUGAAGGUCCUCUGGAUUGUAAACUUCUUUUAUCUGGGACGAAAAAAGGGAAUUCUUUCUCACUUGACGGUACCAGAUGAAUAAGCACCGGCUAACUCCGUGCCAGCAGCCGCGGUAAUACGGAGGGUGCAAGCGUUAUCCGGAUUCACUGGGUUUAAAGGGUGCGUAGGCGGGUAUGUAAGUCAGUGGUGAAAUCUUCGAGCUUAACUCGGAAACUGCCAUUGAUACUAUAUAUCUUGAAUAUUGUGGAGGUAAGCGGAAUAUGUCAUGUAGCGGUGAAAUGCUUAGAUAUGACAUAGAACACCCAUUGCGAAGGCAGCUUACUACGCAUAUAUUGACGCUGAGGCACGAAAGCGUGGGGAUCAAACAGGAUUAGAUACCCGUGUAGUCC
rnacentral:rRNA from 1 species